AGAGUUUGAUCAUGGCUCAGAUUGAACGCUGGCGGCAGGCCUAACACAUGCAAGUCGAGCGGUAGCACAGAGAGCUUGCUCUCGGGUGACGAGCGGCGGACGGGUGAGUAAUGUCUGGGAAACUGCCUGAUGGAGGGGGAUAACUACUGGAAACGGUAGCUAAUACCGCAUAAUGUCGCAAGACCAAAGUGGGGGACCUUCGGGCCUCAUGCCAUCAGAUGUGCCCAGAUGGGAUUAGCUUGUAGGUGGGGUAACGGCUCACCUAGGCGACGAUCCCUAGCUGGUCUGAGAGGAUGACCAGCCACACUGGAACUGAGACACGGUCCAGACUCCUACGGGAGGCAGCAGUGGGGAAUAUUGCACAAUGGGCGCAAGCCUGAUGCAGCCAUGCCGCGUGUGUGAAGAAGGCCUUCGGGUUGUAAAGCACUUUCAGCGGGGAGGAAGGCGUUGAGGUUAAUAACCUUGUCGAUUGACGUUACCCGCAGAAGAAGCACCGGCUAACUCCGUGCCAGCAGCCGCGGUAAUACGGAGGGUGCAAGCGUUAAUCGGAAUUACUGGGCGUAAAGCGCACGCAGGCGGUCUGUCAAGUCGGAUGUGAAAUCCCCGGGCUCAACCUGGGAACUGCAUUCGAAACUGGCAGGCUAGAGUCUUGUAGAGGGGGGUAGAAUUCCAGGUGUAGCGGUGAAAUGCGUAGAGAUCUGGAGGAAUACCGGUGGCGAAGGCGGCCCCCUGGACAAAGACUGACGCUCAGGUGCGAAAGCGUGGGGAGCAAACAGGAUUAGAUACCCUGGUAGUCCACGCCGUAAACGAUGUCGAUUUGGAGGUUGUGCCCUUGAGGCGUGGCUUCCGGAGCUAACGCGUUAAAUCGACCGCCUGGGGAGUACGGCCGCAAGGUUAAAACUCAAAUGAAUUGACGGGGGCCCGCACAAGCGGUGGAGCAUGUGGUUUAAUUCGAUGCAACGCGAAGAACCUUACCUGGUCUUGACAUCCACAGAACUUAGCAGAGAUGCUUUGGUGCCUUCGGGAACUGUGAGACAGGUGCUGCAUGGCUGUCGUCAGCUCGUGUUGUGAAAUGUUGGGUUAAGUCCCGCAACGAGCGCAACCCUUAUCCUUUGUUGCCAGCGGUCCGGCCGGGAACUCAAAGGAGACUGCCAGUGAUAAACUGGAGGAAGGUGGGGAUGACGUCAAGUCAUCAUGGCCCUUACGACCAGGGCUACACACGUGCUACAAUGGCAUAUACAAAGAGAAGCGACCUCGCGAGAGCAAGCGGACCUCAUAAAGUAUGUCGUAGUCCGGAUUGGAGUCUGCAACUCGACUCCAUGAAGUCGGAAUCGCUAGUAAUCGUAGAUCAGAAUGCUACGGUGAAUACGUUCCCGGGCCUUGUACACACCGCCCGUCACACCAUGGGAGUGGGUUGCAAAAGAAGUAGGUAGCUUAACCUUCGGGAGGGCGCUUACCACUUUGUGAUUCAUGACUGGGGUGAAGUCGUAACAAGGUAACCGUAGGGGAACCUGCGGUUGGAUCACCU
rnacentral:rRNA from 3 species